rnacentral:rRNA from 1 species
UCUUUUUGUUUUAUAUUUAAGGUUUAACCUGCCCCCUGAAAGAUUUAAAUGGCCGCGGUAUUUUGACCGUGCUAAGGUAGCAUAAUCAUUAGUUUUUUAAUUGAAAACUGGAAUGAAGGGUUGGAUGAAAAAAAAUCUGUCUUUGUUUAAAUAAAUAGAAUUUUAUUUUUAAGUUAAAAAGCUUAAAUUAUAUUAAAAGACGAGAAGACCCUAUAGAGUUUUAUAAUAAAAAUUUAAUUUUUAUAAAGUAUUAAGUUAAUUAUUAAAAUAUUAUUAUUUAAUUGGGGUGAUUAAAAAAUUUAAUUAACUUUUUUUAUAUUUUUAUAUUAAUUUAUAAAUAUUUGAUCCAUUUAUAUGAUUAAAAGAUUAAAUUACCUUAGGGAUAACAGCGUAAUUUUAUUGGAGAGUUCAAAUCGAUAAUAAAGAUUGCGACCUCGAUGUUGGAUUAAAA